rnacentral:tRNA from 1 species
UCUACUGUAGUCAAAUAUAAAUAUGACGUAGGAUUUAAGCUCCUAAGGUGCUUAAGCCUUUAGAA